rnacentral:rRNA from 2 species
AAAUUGAAGAGUUUGAUCAUGGCUCAGAUUGAACGCUGGCGGCAGGCCUAACACAUGCAAGUCGAACGGUAACAGGAAGCAGCUUGCUGCUUUGCUGACGAGUGGCGGACGGGUGAGUAAUGUCUGGGAAACUGCCUGAUGGAGGGGGAUAACUACUGGAAACGGUAGCUAAUACCGCAUAACGUCGCAAGACCAAAGAGGGGGACCUUCGGGCCUCUUGCCAUCAGAUGUGCCCAGAUGGGAUUAGCUUGUUGGUG